AGGACAGUAGCUCAAUUGGUAGAGCAACGGUCUCCAAAACCGUCGGUUGGGGGUUCGAGUCCCUCCUGUCCUG
rnacentral:tRNA from 5 species